UACGUAGGGGCCUAGCGUUGUCCGGAAUCAUUGGGCGUAAAGAGCGUGUAGGCGGUCCGGUAAGUCAGCUGUGAAAGUCAAGGGCUCAACCCUUGAAAGCCGGUUGAUACUGUCGGGCUAGAGUCCGGAAGAGGCGAGUGGAAUUCCCGGUGUAGCGGUGAAAUGCGCAGAUAUCAGGAGGAACACCGGUGGCGAAGGCGGGUCUCUGGGCCGAUACUGACGCUGAGGAGCGAAAGCGUGGGGAGCGAACAGG
rnacentral:rRNA from 1 species